rnacentral:ncRNA from 1 species
CUGGUCCUCGGUAGUGGCCUUCGGGCGGGAUCCGUCCCGGCCGCGGGCCUCGAUCGAAGACCGG